ACGCUCGACACCUACGGGAGGCAGCAGUGGGGAAUAUUGCACAAUGGGGGAAACCCUGAUGCAGCGACGCCGCGUGAAGGAAGAAGUAUUUCGGUAUGUAAACUUCUAUCAGCAGGGAAGAAGAUGACGGUACCUGAGUAAGAAGCACCGGCUAAAUACGUGGCAGCAGCCGCGGUAAUCUGAGCGGGCUGGCAAGGC
rnacentral:rRNA from 1 species